AGUCCUUCAAAGCUGCUGUGCUGGACUGUCCAAUGAUGAUACAGAAACAGGCCGUCUGGUUUCUUUUCAUGAGGCUGUAACAUGUAGAUCAAAAGUAGAAGCAGCCAAACUGAGAUUUGGGCUGCUGUUCUCUUUCGGGGGGACAUUUGUGAACCUCUGUCUGAAUUCUCAGCCCACCUUUCUUCCAGUAGCCAACUCAAGCCGUGCCUGCCGGCUGAAGACCUCCGGCGUCUGCUGGAUCUCAUCACCGGUUGCCUGUUCCCAAUCCCCUGGAGCGCCUGAAAAAGAGGACCAGGACGGAGCAGGAGGCUUCCGAUAUAGAGCUGAUGGAGCCCUGGCUGACACGAUCAGAGUGGAUCCGAGAGAGGGUCCUGCAGGCCAGUUGCCAGGUGCUGGCUGCCUUCCAGGCCACGGCGAGUCUUCCGGAGGAUCCCUUCCAGAACAGAUCUUAGAGGACAGGUUGGUCCUCCGGCUUUCCGAGGCCCUUUCAAUAGGUUUUGUACUUUUCUUGGUAAGAUGGAGAAAAUCUGAAAGCCUAUGGUGCCCGGGUGGCCUUCCUAGCCCCAUAUACCUGGGAGAGCUCCAUUGA
rnacentral:lncRNA from 1 species